AUUGAACGCUGGCGGCAGGCCUAACACAUGCAAGUCGAGCGCGCGGCGGACGGGUGAGUAAUGUAUGGGGAUCUGCCCGAUAGAGGGGGAAAACUCCUGGAAACGGUGGCUAAUACCGCAUACUAUCGGAUGAACCCAUAUGGGAUUAGCUAGUAGGUGGGGUAAAGGCUCACCAAGGCGACGAUCCCUAGCUGGUCUGAGAGGAUGAUCAGCCACACUGGGACUGAGACACGGCCCAGACUCCUACGGGAGGCAGCAGUGGGGAAUAUUGCACAAUUGGCGCAAGCCUGAUGGAGCCAUGCCGCGUGUAUGAAGAAGGCCUUCGGGUUGUAAAGUUCUUUCAUCGGGGAGGCGUUACCUACAGAGAAAGCACCGGCUAACUCCGUGCCAGCAGCCGCGGUAAUAC
rnacentral:rRNA from 1 species